GUGGGGAAUAUUGCACAAUGGGCGAAAGCCUGAUGCAGCAACGCCGCGUGAGCGAUGAAGGCCUUCGGGUCGUAAAGCUCUGUCCUCAAGGAAGAUAAUGACGGUACUUGAGGAGGAAGCCCCGGCUAACUACGUGCCAGCAGCCGCGGUAAUACGUAGGGGGCUAGCGUUAUCCGGAUUUACUGGGCGUAAAGGGUGCGUAGGCGGUCUUUCAAGUCAGGAGUGAAAGGCUACGGCUCAACCGUAGUAAGCUCUUGAAACUGUAAGACUUGAGUGCAGGAGAGGAGAGUGGAAUUCCUAGUGUAGCGGUGAAAUGCGUAGAUAUUAGGAGGAACACCAGUUGCGAAGGCGGCUCUCUGGACUGUAACUGACGCUGAGGCACGAAAGCGUGGGGAGCAAACAGGAUUAGAAACCCGUGUAGUCC
rnacentral:rRNA from 1 species